rnacentral:rRNA from 1 species
CUACGGGGGGCUCCAGUGGGGAAUAUUGCACAAUGAGCGAAAGCUUGAUGCAGCCAUACCGCGUGUGUGAAGAAGGCCCGAGGGUUGUAAAGCACUUUCAAUUGGGGGGAAGGUUAAGUAGUUAAUACCUGCUUAAUUUGACGUUACCUUUAGAAGAAGCACCGGCUAACUCUGUGCCAGCAGCCGCGGUAAUACAGAGGGUGCAAGCGUUACUCGGAAUUACCGGGCGUAAAGCGCGCGUAGGCGGAUUAUUAAGUCAGUUGUGAAAGCCCUGGGCUCAACCUGGGAACUGCAUCUGAUACUGGUAGUCUAGAGUUUAAGAGAGGGAAGUGGAAUUCCAGGUGUAGCAGUGAAAUGCGUAGAUAUCUGGAGGAACAUCAGUGGCGAAGGCGACUUCCUGGCUUAAAACUGACGCUGAGGUGCGAAAGCGUGGGUAGCGAACGGGAUUAGAUACCCUAGUAGUC